GCUGGGCACGGUGGCUCAUGCCUGUAAUCCCAGCACAUUGGGAGGCUGAGGCAGGUGGAUCACUUGAGCUUAGGAGUUUGAGAUCGGCCUGAGCAACAUGGCAAAACCCUGUCUUUACCAAAAAUACAAACCAAUUAGCCAGGUGCAGUGGCAUGUGCCUGUGGUCCCAGAUACUCAGAGGCUGAGGCAGGAGGAUUACCUGAGCCUGGGAGGCGAAGGUUGCAGUGAGCUGACAUCGUGCCACUGCAAUCCAGCCUGGGCAACAGAGUGAGAUCCUGUCUCA
ensembl:misc_RNA Metazoa_SRP Metazoan signal recognition particle RNA